rnacentral:tRNA from 6 species
GCGGGGAUGCCCGAGCUUGGUCAAAGGGGUUGGCCUGAGGCGCCAAUGCGUAGAGCUGCGUGGGUUCGAAUCCCACUCCCCGCA